GACGAACGCUGGCGGCGCGCUUAACACAUGCAAGUCGAACGGAAAGGCCUGCUUUCCCUUGUGGAUUGCGGGUACUCGAGUGGCGAACGGGUGAGUAACACGUGAGUGAUCUGCCCCCAACUUGGGUAUAAGCCUAGGAAACUGGGUCUAAUUCCCGAUAGGACUGCAGGGUGGUGCCUGUGGUGGAAAACGAUUUUCUAGUGGUUGGGGAUGAGCUCGCGGCCUAUCAGCUUGUUGGUGGGGUAAUGGCCUACCAAGGCGGCGACGGGUAGCCGGCCUGAGAGGGUGGACGGCCACAUUGGGACUGAGAUACGGCCCAGACUCCUACGGGAGGCAGCAGUGGGGAAUAUUGCACAAUGGGCGGAAGCCUGAUGCAGCGACGCCGCGUGGGGGAUGACGGCCUUCGGGUUGUAAACUCCUUUCGACCGCGAGGAAGCCACCUGGUUGGAAGGGUGGUGACGGUAGUGGUAGAAGAAGCACCGGCUAACUACGUG
rnacentral:rRNA from 1 species